AGUGCUCAGGCUCUGAGUUCAAGCUCAAGGACCAGCACUAACUACCUAAACAAAUAAAUCAAUAAUUUACUGUCUACCCCUCUAGAGAAAAAGUCUGCUAACUUCUGGGGGAGGAGGAAGGGAAAGAGAGAGUGAGGGGAAUGGUUUUGAAGUGAUUAUCUAGCCCUUCUCAUUAGAAAUGUAAGCAUAACACCAUGAGUGGCAAGUCUUGCUAAAUUCCUAGUAUCAAGAAGACUUUCUGGCACAUAACAAAAUACUUGCUGAAUGGAUAUCCUGUUUUGCCUUCUGCACUAUAAGCUUAUAACACACACACAGUAAUUCUUUAUUUUCAAGAAGCUUAAGGUCUACUGGGGAAGCUUAAGGUCUACUGUUCAUAAAAUAAUUAGGCAAUCCGUAGGUAAUUUACAAGUUAAUUAACAUGUGCAUGUUCAAUGGGUAGGACUUGACCAGACUGAGUGAAGAAAAUCUGGUUUGAGAAAGAAAGAGACCUAUGGAGACCCAUCAGCAGCUCCAGCAUCAUUGGCUUAGUGGAAAUUACUGUGAGCCACACGACUGGGAUCUAAAUGGGAUAAUAAGAGACAAUAAAGAAGAGAUCAAUCCCAUAAGGCUUGGGACCUCUGGGGAUAGCUAAUCCAGUACCACCCUAAGUCGAAACAAUGAUUUAUCUAAAAGUAUUUAAUGUCAUAUAUACCAGAGUGUAACCAGCUCUUUCUUAUCCCCUCAUGAGAGGGAGUUAAACAAUUUUCAAAUCAUCUUUUUACAAAAGCAGGAAGCAAUGUUUAGCUACUAGAGGGAUGUAAAAUUUUACCAAAGUCUUUGCAUUUGGGAAAUGAAACAUAAAUAAGGCCUCUUCAUAUUUAUUAUACUUACAUUUCUAAAAGUUAUUACAAACCUGUUGGUUAGAUUGCUGCUGGCUUCAGGGGCCUGGUAUCAAGGUGAGGGCUUAGUAAAGUAAUUAUGCUAGGGAAGUAGAGGACCUGUAAUAUGCAAUAGAAUCCUGAGGCUAUUUUUGAGUGCUUAUUUUAAAUAACUUUACUGCUAGAAGAAAAGGAGUUGAAGUUGAGACGGGUAAGUAAAUGAGAUAGUAACAAAAACUUUCCUGGUGAAAGAAGCCUUUCUAACCACAUUACUGAUUAGUCUGAGUCUUAAUCUAUUCACUGUUAAGCUGGCAAUCUUAUCACUUGUGAUACACCUCUACUUUUUUGGUGGUACGAGUCUCACACAGACUUUCCUGUAUGCCCUAGAUUUGAACUGUGGUCCAUAGAUCUCAGCCUCCUGAAUAGCUAGGAUUAUAUUCAUGAACCACUGGCAUCUGGGUAUCGAAUACUUUCUAUGAGGUCAUCCGCUCUAUAAAAUCAAGUUACACAAAGACCAAUUUAGAUGGAAAGCAAUUAACUGGCAAAAUAAACACACAUUCUUUUCUAGUAUUUGAACUGUUUCCUUUAUUAUUCCAAAAAAGAAAGUAUCCAUUCCUUUCUUAUUCUCUCUCUUUCUC